CCGCCCGGUGCUUCCCCGUCAGGCUCCGAACAGCUUCCGUGAGUGGAAGCCAAGCCGGUUCUGCCGGGGUGCUCUUUACCGAGUGUCCCGCGCGGCCGGCCAGUUCACCUUGAAUAAAUGAGAGUGCUCAAAGCAGGCUACUCUGGAAUACAAUGCCCGAAUGUUACCUGCUCAGAAUGAUGGAAGAUGAUCUCGGUUCCAUUUUGUUGGUGGUGGGAGCCAGAGGUAAUGAUAAAGAGGGACUGUCGGGGGCAUCCGUACUACGACGCGAGAGGUGAAAUUCAGUGACCGUCGUAGGACGAACAACAGCGAAAGCAUUUGCCAAGAAUGUCUUCGUUGAUCAAGAACGAAAGUUAGAGGAUCGAAGGCGAUCAGAUACCGCCCUAGUUCUAACCCUAAACGAUGCUGACUAGCAAUUCGCCGUCGUUAUUCCCAUGACGUGGCGAGACGCCCCCGGGAAACCUCAAGUCUUUGAGUUCCGGGGGUAGUAUGGUUGCAAAAGUGAAACUUAAAGGAAUUGACGGAAGGGCACCACCAGGAGUGGAGCCUGCGGCUUAAUUUGACUCACACGGGAAAGCUCACCAGGCCCGGACACCAGAAGGAUUGACAGAUUAAGAGCUCUUUCUCGAUUU
rnacentral:rRNA from 1 species